rnacentral:tRNA from 11 species
GCCCUAGUAGCUCAGCGCC